UAUUCCGGGACGGAGGGAGUAAAUGACUAUUUUUUCCCGCCCUUUCCCCUGCACUGAUGCUCUCUCUCCCUCCUCUCUACCACACUCAACUCAACCCUUGUUUAUCUCGUCGUGAACCCAGAAGCAUUGAGCUUUGACAAGGUUUGACAUGUCUUCUGGAGGGUCGAGCUGUGAUUCCAUAGAUCUGGUUUCUGACAUUCAGUCUCCUGCAGUAGUCGAUGAUGCAAAACCAUCACAUAAGGAAGAUGGCGUAUCUUCUAUGCAAACUUCUGAUUUAUAUAAUUUACCUUUAUGUGAACGAGCUGGACGACUUAAAACCAUCAAUCAGCUUACCUUCUUUCCAAUGGGGGUAAGGAGAGAUUUGGCGAAGGCAAUAAUUCUACAUGACUAUCCCCUCUCCAUGGUUGAUCAUAUGGGGUUCAGAGAACUCUUUAACAGUGUUUAUUCCUUGGUUUCUCAAAAUACCCUAAAGAAUGAUAUAUCGAAAAUCCACGAGUUCAACAGGGGUAUUUCAAUGAGAUUGUUCAAUGAAACUAAGAGCAGGAUUGCCAUAACUGUAGAUAAGUGGAUUUCUUGUGAUCAAACUAAGAGAUAUAUUGCUAUUACAGGACAGAUAAUCAAUAAUGACUGGAAAGUUCAACGUCGCAUGAUGAGGUUUGUAAAUGUGCCCUGUGCAUACACAAAUGAGUCGGUUGCUAAACUCACCGCAGAGUGUCUUUUUGACUGGGAUGUGGCCUCAAAAAUCUCUACCAUUGCAAUUGAUUAUGCAUUUGACGAGAAACUGACUGAUAUCUUAGCUGAUCAUCUUUCCAGUAGUUCACUUAUUUUGGGUGGAAAAUUGUUGCGAAUGAGAUGUUUUGCUCGUACAACAAGCUUGAUGGUUAAAGAGGGUUUCGAUGUGAUUGGAAACGUGAUUGAGAAAAUACGUGAGAGUAUUCUUUUCUGGACGACAACACCUCAAAGAGAGAGAGACUUUAAGGAAGCAUCACGUGAGCUAAGCAUAUCUGAGAGUGACAGUAAGUUGAAUCUUGAUUCUGUCUCCAAGUGGAACACGACCUUUCUGAUGUUACAAACAGCUCUUUUGCUUAAACCUGUCUUCUGUCACCUGAAGAAACAGGAGUUUGAAUACUUGUGUAUGCCAAGCGAGGAGGAGUGGGAGUUAGCCGAAAAAGUUGUUCAAAAGCUGAGACUAUUCUAUAGAAUGAUAAAUUGUGUCUCUAAAUAUCGUAGUGCAAACUUUUUUUUCUUCGAUUUGUGUUACAUGAAAAUAACUAUGUCUAAGUGGGUUAUCUGCACUGAUGAGGUGGUGAGAAACAUGGCUUCAAAAAUGCUGGAGAUAUUUGACAAAUAUUGGAAAGCAGUACGGGAUAUUUUUGCUGUUGCUUCAGUGUUGGAUCAGAGAUUUAAAUUGGAGGGUGUUGAGGGUGGUUUCGAAGAUAUCUAUGGUGAAGGAAGUCAGAAGGAAGUGGAGCACAUUCGCCGACUUUGUUAUGAUCUGUUCAACGAGUAUCAGAGUAAAGCUAGCUUGGAGAAGACAAAAUGUGAUGAUGAUUCAUCUGGUGGCGUUAAAGAUUCAGAUAAACGUAUGAGCGGCUAUGAGAAGUAUAUACGAGAGAAAAGAAAAAGGGAGAAACUUGAUGAGAAACCCGAAUUGGAUGAUUACUUGGAAAAGGAGACAUAUUCAUUUGAUAAAAGGCUUGGAGACAUUGCUGUUUUGGAUUGGUGGAGGUAUGGCAGUUCUAUCUUGAACACAAUGGUUAGAGACAUUCUGGCUAUUCCUAUCUUGUCAGUUCCUCCAGAGCACAUGUUUGAUACUGAAGAUUACAGAAUUUUGAGUCCACAUCGUAGUAUACUUCAUCCAACCAUGGUGGAAAAAUUGAUGUGCACUCAAAGUUGGUUAUGGACAGAUAUCAAAGAUUCUUAUCGAGUAACUAAUUCAUAUUCAUGGGGCACAGCUGAUGAUUAUGCUGUGGUAGAACAUGAGGCUGCUGAAGAGGCCAAACUUGCUCAGCCACAUUAGUCAAAUGGUUUCUAUCAGAACGUACAGUACAUUAAAAUUCCAUUCAGAGGAUCAAGGAUUGAUGACUGAAGGCAAGAUAAUGGAGAAAUAAGUGGACCAAAAUAUAAGUGGCAAGAUCCUAUGCGGGAGCAUACCUUGAGGGAGCUUGAAGAUCAUUUGUGGAUGGAUGGAGUACGAAGACUGGGGUUGGAACCAGACAUCUUUAAAUACAUUAGAAUUCGGAACAAAAGAUGAUUCAUCUCGGAAAAUAAUUUUGGCACAUCAAAAAGUUGAUAUGGGCACACCUAUUGUGAGUAGAACACGGAAAAUUGUGUUUGACAGUGCUAAAUCAAGUUUUCUGGUGUGACAAAAACGGUUUCACUAUCUCUUAACCAUGACUAAGGCUGUUGUCGACGACUCGACGGUUGCUAGUCUUGCCAGAGUCGGUUCAUUUGCUACAUUAUACGGUAGUUAUUUGAUUUUUUUUUCCAAUAUGUAGAGAGAAUCAUAAGAAACAAGGUGGCAAAUGGUGUAGACGACAUUUGAAGGUCGAUCUUCCGUAAACCCCUCAUUCCUCAAGACAUUGGUUUGUGAUUUGUAGAAUUGUUUAGCUAUAAAUAAUAGUGUAAAUAAUAAAAUGGAUAUUAAUAUUA